GGAAUACCCGCUGAACUUAAGCAUAUCAAUAAGCGGAGGAAAAGAAACCAACAGGGAUUGCCCCAGUAACGGCGAGUGAAGCGGCAACAGCUCAAAUUUGAAAUCUGGCUCUCGGGCCCGAGUUGUAAUUUGUAGAGGAUGCUUUUGGUGAGGUGCCUUCCGAGUUCCCUGGAACGGGACGCCAUAGAGGGUGAGAGCCCCGUCUGGUUGGACACCGAUCCUCUGUAAAGCUCCUUCGACGAGUCGAGUAGUUUGGGAAUGCUGCUCUAAAUGGGAGGUAUAUGUCUUCUAAAGCUAAAUACCGGCCAGAGACCGAUAGCGCACAAGUAGAGUGAUCGAAAGAUGAAAAGAACUUUGAAAAGAGAGUUAAAAAGUACGUGAAAUUGUUGAAAGGGAAGCGCUUGUGACCAGACUUGGGCUUGGUUGAUCAUCCGGGGUUCUCCCCGGUGCACUCUUCCGGCUCAGGCCAGCAUCAGUUCGCCCUGGGGGAUAAAGGCUUCGGGAAUGUGGCUCUCUCCGGGGAGUGUUAUAGCCCG
rnacentral:rRNA from 1 species